UACAGAGGGUGCGAGCGUUAAUCGGAAUUACUGGGCGUAAAGCGCGCGUAGGCGGCUUUGCAAGUCGGGUGUGAAAUCCCCAGGCUUAACCUGGGAACUGCAUUCGAGACUGCAUUGCUAGAGUAUGGGAGAGGGAAGUGGAAUUCCCGGUGUAGCGGUGAAAUGCGCAGAUAUCGGGAGGAACACCGGUGGCGAAGGCGGUUCUCUGGGCCUGACCUGACGCUGAGGAGCGAAAGCGUGGGGAGCGAACAGG
rnacentral:rRNA from 1 species